rnacentral:lncRNA from 1 species
ACAACCUGAUCACCGAAUUCCUCCCUUCCUUCCUCCACGGUCAAUGGCUCCGGCGCCGGGGAUGCAUUCGGCACUGACGGUAGGGGAGGCGAGCGUUGUGCGGAUGCUAAACUCGUGGGCGAUGCCGGAGUUGGAGAUGGCGCGAAAAAUGAAACAGAAACGCCUAUUUAGAUUUUAAAAUAUUAGGAGUGGCUUUUUAAUCUGCGGCUAAUUAAAAUUUUAAUAAACAUAAGGGACUUACUUGCAAUUUUAUCAAUUUACGAGUUUUUUACAUUUGACCCCUUACCUUUUAAAUUAUUAUAUUUAUGUUAAAGUUUUCUCUAUUGUGUCAUUGUAUUGUUGACUUAUCAAUUUUAUUUAUUUUAUGUUUAUAAUGUAAGCAAACUUAUACGCUUUUAACUCUAUGGUACCUAUUAAACCAAAUUUUGAUCUAAUUGUUAUUUGAAUUCUCAUUAUCUAUGACUUUCAAUUCAUAUGUAAGAAUAAAUACACUCGUGACAAGAACUCAAGUAUCCAAUAACAUAUUACAUAUAUAUAUAUAUAUAUAUAUAUAUAUAUAUAGACACACACACGCCAAGAGCACUAAAAUUUUGAAAAAACUGAAGUACUAGUUAAAAGUUGAAACACAAUUUCACUCACCGGACCUCUCACUGUCUGAAGCGUUUAAUGAUGGUGCAUGCGCUGAAGGAAAGUGUUGAACGGACGAGAAACUGGAGUUGGGUUCCGGGGCUGGCGAUGGCGCAAAACCUGAGACAUUAUUAAGAGGAGUGAAUUUGC